AGACCCGAAACCCGGUGAUCUAGCCAUGGGCAGGUUGAAGGUUGGGUAACACUAACUGGAGGACCGAACCGACUAAUGUUGAAAAAUUAGCGGAUGACUUGUGGCUGGGGGUGAAAGGCCAAUCAAACCGGGAGAUAGCUGGUUCUCCCCGAAAGCUAUUUAGGUAGCGCCUCGUGAAUUCAUCUCCGGGGGUAGAGCACUGUUUCGGCAAGGGGGUCAUCCCGACUUACCAACCCGAUGCAAACUGCGAAUACCGGAGAAUGUUAUCACGGGAGACACACGGCGGGUGCUAACGUCCGUCGUGAAGAGGGAAACAACCCAGACCGCCAGCUAAGGUCCCAAAGUCAUGGUUAAGUGGGAAACGAUGUGGGAAGGCCCAGACAGCCAGGAUGUUGGCUUAGAAGCAGCCAUCAUUUAAAGAAAGCGUAAUAGCUCACUGGUCGAGUCGGCCUGCGCGGAAGAUGUAACGGGGCUAAACAAUGCACCGAAGCUGCGGCAGCGACACUGUGUGUUGUUGGGUAGGGGAGCGUUCUGUAAGCCUGUG
rnacentral:rRNA from 1 species